rnacentral:rRNA from 1 species
UACGAAGGGGGCUAGCGAUUUUCGGAAUUACUGGGCGUAAAGCGCACGUAGGCGGAUUUGUUAGUCAGGGGUGAAAUCCCGGGGCUCAACCUCGGAACUGCCUUUGAUACUGCAAGUCUAGAGUCCGGAAGAGGUGAGUGGAAUUCCUAGUGUAGAGGUGAAAUUCGUAGAUAUUAGGAAGAACACCAGUGGCGAAGGCGGCUCACUGGUCCGGUACUGACGCUGAGGUGCGAACGCGUGGGGAGCAAACAGG